UAUCAAUCCACCAUAGCAUUCUCAUCUAGCUAGCUCCUCCACCGGCAACUGAAAUUGCCUAGGAUUUCAAGGGGAUCAGUGCCAGAUCGGGAAACUUUUGUGGAGUAUUGGUCUUCAUGCAGGCAGACCAUCAAUGGGUUAGAUAUGCUCGGCCGUCAUGAUUUAAUUUCUUCUACUGCUGCUAGUGCGUAGUGGCUACCGACUAGGCGACUACGUACUUUCUUGGGAGAAGGUCAAAUUGGUUCUUACAGAAAUACUGAUCAGGAAACUUUGUGGAGUAUUGAUCUGCAGGCAGGCGAUCGAUGGGUUAAUUUCUUCUGCUGCUGGUAGUACGUAGUUACUACGUACUUUCUUUGGAGAAGACUACGUACUUUCCUUCGAGAAGAUCAAAAUGGUUCUUCCAGAAAAACUGGUUAGUACCUCUCUCUCUCUCUCUCUCUCUCUCUCUCUCUCCUUGCCAUUU